rnacentral:lncRNA from 1 species
CCAUCUCCAGUCCAUGGCAACAACAGCAGUACUUUUCCACUUGCUCGCUCUAUCAGAUUAGCAAUCCGCUGCUCAUUGUUAGGGCUUAAAGAGUAUCGGCCAUGACCUUCUAUUACGGAUGGUCUCUAUAUGUGUUUAGCUUCAUCUCACUUAAAUGGCGAGACUGAAAUCUCAUAUCUGUAAGAAAGGCUCUUACAUGCCCCUUUUUGUAAGGCAGAUCUAAAUUUUGGGGUUAACCUUUGAAGGUUAGAAACUUCGAAUGUAACUUUCAUAUUUUUCAAAAAAGAUGAGUUCUUUUUAUGAUCACUGGAUUAGGCAAAGUUGGGAUAAUUUAGAUUAGUAACUAGGAUUUCAAAAUAGGUUCAACAUUGUUCUUUACCUUCCCUAAAAGUGUGCUGGGUUCUUCCAGAAACAUGAGAAAGGCUGGUGGGUUUUAAUUAAACAAUUUCAAGUCAUGUUUUUAUAAAUUGUGUUGGGUUUGGGGUUCUGACCUUAUAAGUCAUGUGAAUUUGUGUGGGUCUUUGGUAUUUUCUUUUUGUUAUCCAAUAGAUUUUUGCUGAAAUGGUUAGCAAUUUAUAUUUUUUCUUUUAAGACUUUUAACUUUUGUUGUUUCUAUUAUCUAUAGAUGUAAGACAGAUAGUUGGAAAACAAAAGAGAAGCCUAAUUGGUUUCUGUUGAUGCAAGAGAUGUUGCCUUGUUGGGUCUGAAUUUUUGUUUGCAGAAAGGACUUGUCGUAAGGACAUCACAAAUCAGGGGUCAUUGGAUCUUACACAUCAUUAGAGAAGGUUUGCGGACGAGUUUAUCAGUACUUAGUUGAAGUGAUCAAGUUGGAAGAGUUGCAAGUUUGACUAGGAGUUUAACAAAGAAGUUGCUACUGAAGUAAUCUAGCUAUUUGCAAGUUUUGGAGUUAACCAAGUAGUAGAAAAGUUUGAAGUUGAAGGUGGUGUUAUAUUCAUGGCAACUCCAGUUGAUCUGUUGCAACUGGAUUUCUGAAUUUUCAAAAGUUGAAGUUGUCACCAGAGCUUAAGCAGAAGUUGAAGUCGUCACCGGAGCUUAACCAGAACUUGAAGUCAUUUAGUAGAAAUGCUCAAGUCAUGAUAACGAGGCCAUCAUAUAAAGAAAUCCUAUAUUCCUUCUUGUGAAAUAUUCCUUUACUUGUUCCAGUGUGUAAGUCUUUGGAUUGGUGGUUUAAUGAACUUCGUUGGAGUUAUUUUGCUAUGUAUUGCUGUUUGGUAUGCAUUCCUUUGUGGCAGUUGAUGGAAAUAUCAAAUAUGUAGUUUGCAGCUAUGA